rnacentral:rRNA from 1 species
CAACCUGCCCCUCGCUCCGGGGACAGCCCCGGAAACCGGGGAUGAUACCCGGAUACUCCGCCCCUCCGCAUGGAGGGCGGAAAGCCCAGACGGCGAGGGAUGGGGCCCCGCGGCCUGUUAGCUUGUUGGCGGGGCAGCGGCCCACCAAGGCGAUGAUGGGUAGCCGGGUUGAGAGACCGACCGGCCAGAUUGGGACUGAGACACGGCCCAGACUCCUACGGGAGGCAGCAGUGGGGAAUCUUGCACAAUGGGCGGAAGCCUGAUGCAGCGACGCCGCGUGCGGGACGAAGGCCUUCGGGCUGCAGACCGCUUUCAGCAGGGACGAGGCGCAAGUGACGGUACCUGCAGAAGAAGCCCGGCUAACUACGUGCC